UGCGAGCGUUAAUCGGAAUUACUGGGCGUAAAGCGUGCGCAGGCGGUUAUAUAAGACAGAUGUGAAAUCCCCGGGCUCAACCUGGGAACUGCAUUUGUGACUGUAUAGCUAGAGUACGGCAGAGGGGGAUGGAAUUCCGCGUGUAGCAGUGAAAUGCGUAGAUAUGCGGAGGAACACCGAUGGCGAAGGCAAUCCCCUGGGCCUGUACUGACGCUCAUGCACGAAAGCGUGGGGAGCAAACAGGAUUAGAUACCCUGGUAGU
rnacentral:rRNA from 1 species